rnacentral:rRNA from 1 species
CAACCNNCCGCUUACUCGGGGAUAGCCUUUCGAAAGAAAGAUUAAUACCCGAUGGUAUAAAGAGUUCGCANGUUCUCUUUAUUAAAGAAUUUCGGUAAGCGAUGGGGANGCGUUCCAUUAGAUAGUUGGCGGGGUAACGGCCCACCAAGUCUACGAUGGAUAGGGGUUCUGAGAGGAAGGUCCCCCACAUUGGAACUGAGACACGGUCCAAACUCCUACGGGAGGCAGCAGUGAGGAAUAUUGGUCAAUGGACGCGAGUCUGAACCAGCCAAGUAGCGUGAAGGAUGACUGCCCUAUGGGUUGUAAACUUCUUUUAUAUGGGAAUAAAGUUGUCCACGUGUGGAUUUUUGUAUGUACCAUAUGAAUAAGGAUCGGCUAACUCCGUGCCAGCAGCCGCGGUAAUACGGAGGAUCCGAGCGUUAUCCGGAUUUAUUGGGUUUAAAGGGGGCGUAGAUGGAUGUUUAAGUCAGUUGUGAAAGUUUGCGGCUCAACCGUAAAAUUGCAGUUGAUACUGGAUAUCUUGAGUGCAGUUGAGGCAGGCGGAAUUCGUGGUGUAGCGGUGAAAUGCUUAGAUAUCACGAAGAACUCCGAUUG